rnacentral:lncRNA from 1 species
GGAUAGAUGGCACCCACUAGAAGGAAUGUUGCACUCUAGAAUGGUUGUAGCCAUUACUGUUUGGGACAAUUGGCAUUAUUGCUACCUAGGGUAGCCAUAGUGACUUGAGUGAUCUAGUGUGUGUGGACUAGAAUGAUGAGUGACCUUUCAUGUAUUUAUUUAUUUAUUUUAUGAUGUAUCUAAUAUUAAUGGAUGUAAAGAGCUUUACCUAUUACAUAGAUAGUGGUGUCCCUUUAUUCUCCUCCUUAAAAAUAGGGGUAGCGGUUGCGCAUGUAAGCUUAUAAUAAGUUUAACUAACUGUAAGAUAAUAAGAUUG